ensembl:lncRNA
CGCCGCCGCCGCCGAGGCACAGCGCGGGGAACGCGCCUCCUGCGCGAAGCUCUUCGCCCGUUCCUGAGAACGCCCCUUCGUCCCAGAAACCGCCGGUUUCUCUCGCAACACCGGCGUCUGGUUCUGUGGAAGAAGGUAAAAGCAGUUUGAAUCGGGACCGGCGGGAGAGAUCCGCCGCCGUCGGGUCGGCGGUGAAAGCAGUCGCUGGCGGCGGCUCGAAGGAGGAGGUCAACGCGCGUGUUGCUGUCCUGAAAGUGCAGCAGCAGAGAGGCGCUUCUGAAGCAAACAUGGUCGCCUCUUUGAAUAACGGGACGCUGAGGGAGAAGGACGACGGCGUUGGCGAGGAAGAGGAACCGACGGAGACGAAAAAGAUCGUCGCUGCGAGAAUCCAUCCAGCCGAAAAAGCCCGAAACAAACCCUCUGGUGCAGAAGAAAUCGCCAGCGUGAAGGAGAGCGCCGCAAAACCCAAGUGCCCGCCCCCGGCCGCCGCCAAGGAAGACGCUCAGCUGGCCAAAAGUAAGUGCAGGCCCGACCCGCGGCCCGCGGCACCCGCCGCCACGAAGACGCACACAAAAUCGCCGGAAGUGAAGUCUCGCGGCGCGGCUCCUCCCGGCCCCCCAGCCGGGGGCAGUCCCAACGCCAAGCAGAGAGAAGCCCCCGCUCAAACGACCCCGGACGCCUCCGUUCAGCCGCCGCAUUCCCCGAGAGAAGCCCCGCCCAGAGGCUCCGCGCCGCCGCCCAAACCGCCGCCCCCCGCCAAGGCCGCCCCUCCCUCGCCGGCUGGGAAGACCUCACCAGCUGGUAAACAAUGCCUCGAUCCCAAACACAAGGAGCCGUCCCCCAAGACCACAGCGCCCGCCGGGAGAAACCACCACGGCCCGAGACCAAAAGAUGUCGCCGCGGACGCCCCCUCCCCCCAGCCCGACGCGGCGAGGAAAGAACCGCCGAGCGGUGAGGCCGCCCCGGGCCGGGCCCCUGGCGCUGCGUUCAGAGCGACCAAGGAGGGCCCCAAGGCCGAAACGGCCAAACCCGACGGUCGCGGUGGGGGGGCGCCACCGCCGCCGCCGCCCCCUCCCCCGGACAAACAGGUGGCGUCCUCCGGCAAGAGGGAGCCGGAGAGGAAGAAAAAAGAGGCCGUUCAAGAGGGCGCGCCCGCGCAGAAAAACACUAAAAGAGACGCGACCAGAGCCGCCGCCGCCGAGCGGGACGCCGGCAGGAAGCAGCAGAAAGAGUCGCCGCGUAGUUCCUGCCAUAAAAAAUAAAGGGGGGGGGCGGGUUUGUGGAAGCAGCAUCACGCCUUCUUGAUUUCGGGGAGCGGGGGCGAGCUGUUGCAUGCUGGUUGGAGACGUGCGCGCUUACGUCCGAAUGUAGGAAGUCGUUUGCUGAUCAUUUCUGGUGUUUUUUUUUUUUACUUUUCACGUCAGGUUGGUUUUUGUUUCUGCUUCGUGCAAUCAGCGUGUCAGCGCGCGUGAGGAGGGGGCGGGGCCGGGGCUCGCUAGGCUCCGCCCCUUGGCCGUACAGUCCGUGCCAUAUUAAAGCGGCUUGAUUGCACUCUCACUUGGAACACAGGAGGAACCUGCAGGGGGCCUCGUGGUUCCGUGGGAUUCUCUUGUCGACGCACCGAGGGAAUAAAAACACGCCCGACUUUCCCCCCGAAAACUAAAAAUAGGGAAAUCAUCUCACAGUUCUGGGAAAUCCUAAAUCAGUGAAGGGGCCUUAGAAUUAUGGGAAAUUAAAAAAAAAACUUGCUGUUCCGAGCAAGCUGUGGUGUUCAUUUACAUUCCUCUGACAUGUGUACAUAUAUUUUGGGGAUUUUUAUGCAAUAUGGUGUAAAUAUGAGAACAUUGUUAAACUGGGACUCACGUGAUUGUCGUUUGUACUAAAGGUGUAGAUCAAUAUUAUGAGCUCGGUAUUUUUGUGGUUUAAAGUGAGCUCCCAUGAUGCAUUUCAUCGGAGGCCUCCUGUUUUUUGUGACUUUCCACACGGGGGGUGGUAGGGGGGGGGGGGGUCGGGGGCAAAUGGACUGUUUCUGAAAAUGUAGCAUUAAUCAACAAAACUGUGAGGGCCGUUCGCCCCCCCCACCCCCCCCAGGAAAGUCUAUCCGGUAUCACUGCAGUCGGUAAGCACAGAGGGGGCUUCAGAAGAUUUCUCGGGGGGGGUUUCGGGUCUUCGUGCUGGUCGAGUGUUUUUGGUGUCUCAGAGGAAUCAAAGAUUUCACACGCACUCAAUGUUAAACUCUUGGUACUAAUGUAGGCUGUCAUGUAUCUGCAUUCACUUUCUGCUAAAUCACACACACACAUUCAUCCUGUAGAUGAAUAAGAAGCCCUGAAGGAGGAGGAGACACGGAGUGUGUCAUGCAGUAUUCGCUCUGUUGUGUUAAAACGACCACGUGUACUCUCAUCGCGACCGGCCCAACGUGACGGAGUCUGAAGUUUAUCUUCACGAGAUUUUAACGAUGAAAAGGAUCUUUGCAUUAGAUAUUUUGUUGCUGCGUCGCUAAUGUAGUGUGUGUGAGAACAAAUGCACCUUAAUGUUUGCCCGGUAUUCGGUUGGGGAGGGCGAGGAGAAGGAAGCGGAACUGAAAUGAUUCAUGAAUUCCCGUCUCGUCUGUCAGAUUUAAACGAGUUCCAUUUGAUGAAAUAAAACUUUUUUUUUUUUUUCCUCCGGUGACGACUGACAUUUAAAAUCAGCAAAGCACAUUCAAUGUUUGUUUACAAAGCAUCAUGGAUGUAUAUUUUGUGUAUCGUUAUUUGCCAAAUCUGUGUAGUGUGUCAGAGCUGCUGUUCAUGGCGUAAGAACACGUGUUCGUGCUGUGAUCGAUGUCACACCUUCUUUCUCUGCUCGACUUUUUAGUUCCCUUUUUUUUUUUCUUCCUCCGUGCAAAACUAGUAUUAGAUGAACUCGCUCUCGAUGGUUUGUCUUUUAGAACAUGUGCAAUAAAAGUGUUUUGAGUUUUGUAUUUUGCCCAAGGAAAGCUCUAUGGGUGUCAUAGAUGUUGUAUAUUAAAACAGAUAUUUAUACUUCUAAUGUUGCGUAACACUGAAAAUAAAAUGGAACU